AUUGAACGCUGGCGGAAUGCUUUACACAUGCAAGUCGAACGGUAGAGGGGGCAACCCCUCGAGAGUGGCGAACGGGUGAGUAAUAUAUCGGAACGUGCCCAGUCGUGGGGGAUAACGUAGCGAAAGUUACGCUAAUACCGCAUACGAUCUAGGGAUGAAAGCGGGGGAUCGCAAGACCUCGCGCGAUUGGAGCGGCCGGUAUCAGAUUAGGUAGUUGGUGGGGUAAAGGCUCACCAAGCCAACGGUCUGUAGCUGGUCUGAGAGGACGACCAGCAAGACUGGACCUGAGACACGGUCCAGACCCCUCCGGGAGGCAGCAGUGGGGAAUUUUGGACAAUGGACGCAAGUCUGAUCCAGCCAUUCCGCGUGCAGGAUGAAGGCCCUCGGGUUGUAAACUGCUUUUGUACGGAACGAAAAGGUCUCUCUUAAUACGGGGGACUCAUGACGGUACCGUAAGAAUAGGCACCGGCUAACUACGUGCCAGCCGCCGCGGUAA
rnacentral:rRNA from 1 species